rnacentral:misc_RNA from 1 species
GAUGAAGAACGUAGCGAAAUGCGAUAAGUAAUGUGAAUUGCAGAAUUCAGUGAAUCAUCGAAUCUUUGAACGCACAUUGCGCCCAUUAGCGUUCUAGUGGGCAUGCCUGUUCGAGCGUCAUUUCAACCCUUAAGCCCUGUUGCUUAGCGUUGGGAGCCUACAGUACUGUAGCUCCCCAAAGUUAGUGGCGGAGUCGGUUUCACACUCUAGACGUAGUAAUUUUUUCUCGUCUGUAGUUGAGCCGGUCCCCUGCCGUAAAACACCCAAUUUAUCAAGGUUGACCUCGGAUCAGGUAGGAAUACCCGCUGAACUUAAGCAUAUCAAUAAGCGGAGGA